AACGAACGUUGGCGGCGUGGAUUAGGCAUGCAAGUCGAACGCGAAUCCCUGGGCAACUGGGGAGGAGAGUGGCGAAAGGGGCAGUAAGGCGUGGGUAACCUACCCUCCGGGCCGGGAUAGCUUCGGGAAACUGAAGGUAAUACCGGGCGACGCAGCGAGAUCGCAUGGUCUUGCUGCCAAAGGUCCGCCGCCGGGGGAGGGGCUCACGUGGUAUUAGCUAGACGGCGGGGUAACGGCCCACCGUGGCAAAGAUGCCUAGCAGGUGUGAGAGCACGACCUGCGCCCCUGGAACUGAGACACUGGCCAGACACCUACGGGUGGCUGCAGUCGAGGAUCUUCGGCAAUGGGCGCAAGCCUGACCGAGCGACGCCGCGUGUGCGAUGAAGGCCUUCGGGUUGUAAAGCACUGUCGAGGGGGAGGAAGCCGCAAGGUUGACCUAUCCCUGGAGGAAGCACGGGCUAAGUUCGUG
rnacentral:rRNA from 1 species